rnacentral:rRNA from 1 species
GACGAACGCUGGCGGCGUGCUUAACACAUGCAAGUCGAACGGACAGGCCCUGAUCUUGUGGGUUGCUCGAGUGGCGAACGGGUGAGUAACACGUGAGUAACAUGCACUUGACUUUGGGAUAACUUCAGGAAACUGGGGCGCAUACCGGAUAGGAGCUUCUGCAGCAUGGUGGGGGUUGGAAAGAUUCGGCUGUUGGGGAUGGACUCGCGGCUUAUCAGCUUGUUGGUGGGGUAGUGUCUUACCAAGGCUUUGACGGGUAGCCGGCCUGGGAGGGUGACCGGCCACAUUGGGACUGAGAUACGGACCAGACUCCUACGGGAGGCAGCAGGGGGGAAUAUUGCACAACGGGCGGAAGCCUGAUGCAGCAACGCCGCGUGCGGGAUAACGGCCUUCUGGUUGUAAACCGCUUUCGCAUGUGACGAAGCGUGAGUGACGGUAAUGGGUAAAGAAGCACCGGCUAACUACGUG